rnacentral:lncRNA from 10 species
CUGGAAGGGCUGCUGGAAGCCAUCUUCGCACGGUUCUUCCCUUGGCUUUAGAGCCCCGAAGCGCUCUUUGACUUGAGCUGCUUUGCAUUCUCUCUGUCCUGCCAUCGAGAAAGUUCUGAGCGGCUCAGAAGUAAUACUGACACUGAGGAAGAAAUUAGGACGCAGAUACCCAGAGGGGAGACAUGAGGACAGAGGGAAAAGCCGGCCAUCCGCAUGCCAGGCAGAGAGGCCUCGGGAGAAGCCGCCCCUGCUGGCACCUCCACCUCGGACUUCUAGCCUCCAGAAUUGUGAGAACAUCAGUUUAUUUUGUUUACCCGCCCCCCCCCCGCCCCCACCAAAUCUGUAGAACUUUGUUACAGCAGCCCUCGGGAACAAAUACACCCCCAAUAUAUGAACGUGCAUUUGGAGUCGUGAGUGCAGCAGCCCCCUAGGAGCUGAUACCACUGAAAAUACGAGACACCCAA